UUAGCUUUUUCUUCCUCUCUUUCUCUAAAGCACUAGAAUGGUUUUUUUGAAGAAGAGUUUAGUGAAUUUGGAUAUUGUGAGAUGAGAAGAGGCUAGUGAGCAGGAAUUCAGCUAGAAAGAAAGAAAUUGAGGUUGACGACGCACGAAUUACGGUAGAAGCCGUUUAAGUUCUAUUUACACAAAGUCGCGAGAGCUCGUUAUUGACACAGUUCGAGACGUUGAUUCUAGCUGUUAGCAUCCCUACAGGUUCCAGUGCGAGCGUUGUGGCCGAGGAUCGCGGCAAGAGCCCUGCAGUCUAGCUAGCAGACAUCAGUGUUUAGUGGUAUACCACUUUGAGUUCAUGUGAGAUAUUUUGAUGUACAAAGACAUGUAAAUGAAUGUAUUAAAAAGAAUAUAAAUAACUAAAUGUUUCAGUUAUUCAGUUCAGU